CAGGAUUAGAUACCCUGGUAGUCCACGCCGUAAACGAUGAGUGCUAGAUAUCGGAAGAUUCUCUUUCGGUUUCGCAGCUAACGCAUUAAGCACUCCGCCUGGGGAGUACGGUCGCAAGAUUAAAACUCAAAGGAAUUGACGGGGGCUCGCACAAGCGGUGGAGCAUGCGGUUUAAUUCGAUGUUACGCGAAAAACCUUACCAACCCUUGACAUGGUGGUCGCGGAUCGCAGAGAUGCUUUUCUUCAGCUCGGCUGGACCACACACAGGUGUUGCAUGGCUGUCGUCAGCUCGUGUCGUGAGAUGUUGGGUUAAGUCCCGCAACGAGCGCAACCCUCAUUCUUAUUUGCCAGCGGGUAAUGCCGGGAACUAUAAGAAAACUGCCGGUGAUAAGCCGGAGGAAGGUGGGGACGACGUCAAGUCAUCAUGGCCCUUACGGGUUGGGCUACACGCGUGCUACAAUGGUGUUUACAGAGGGAAGCAAGACGGCGACGUGGAGCAAAUCCCUAAAAGACAUCUCAGUUCGGAUUGUUCUCUGCAACUCGAGAGCAUGAAGUUGGAAUCGCUAGUAAUCGCGGAUCAGCAUGCCGCGGUGAAUACGUUCUCGGGCCUUGUACACACUGCCCGUCACGCCAUGGGAGUUAGUUUUACCUGAAGGUGGUGAGCUAGCCAGAAAGGGGGAA
rnacentral:rRNA from 1 species